UAUGGCUUGUGAGCUCUUGUUAAGUUUAUGCUCGUUAUGUUAUGUAGUUUAGUAACUUAGUUCUGUUUUUAUCGCAGGAUGCUUGUUGCUUUCGUUCUGGGUUUACUGAUGUUGAAUGCGGUGGAGAGUGCUUCAAAGGGGAUAAAAAUUGUUUAUCAUAAUCCAAGUUAUACAAGAAUUAUUGAUGGUGUUCCAGUAAAAGUGACUUACGAAGGAGCUUACGUCCCAAUUCCUCAAAAUGUUUCCUUUACGAUUAUGCGCAACAUACCAACACAACCAACAAGACCCCAAAUGCCCAAAAUGCCAACGCGUCCAACUAUUACCUAAAGACUAAUAAAACGAGCGAUCCAUAUGAGAAAAAAACAUAUUCAUUCUCAUAAACACUUUCAUAAGUACUGAAUACUAAAUACUUAUACUGAAUAUACAACUGGAGGGUACCAUCAAAAUCUACCAUCAAUUCCAAUGAAAUAAAACAAUGAUUAAUGUGA